rnacentral:tRNA from 1 species
GUUUUUGUAGUUGAUACACAACGGUGGCUUUUCACGCCACAAGUCCUGGUUAGAGUCCUGGUAAGAACC